CAUCGACUGCGGAAAUCUUGCAAGUGGAUCGUAAAGAUGCUCAUAUCAAUUUGGAGUUCUGCCUCCAAGCCAGAAUUGCAGGAAUGCACCACGUGUUGGCUGUUUCACUGCCCUCUGUGCCCCACUUUCAGCCCUAUUGUCAGGAGCAUAUAAAUGGACACAUUAAAAAUGCUUUGCCUUUCAAAGACAAAAUGAUAUGCCGGUGCACUUUCACUGCCCUGUCUGUAACAUGACAGUCAUACAGCGUGGGGAUAUGGCAAGGCAAUUUUUCUCAUGUCAGCGUUUAGGACUGCUCCCCGCUGAACUCUCCGUGGAGCCACAUCUCCCUCUCGAUGUCUUGUCUCCAGUAUCUAAACCAUUUUCUGAAUCUUCAGUAGAACAUUCAUGUGCUCUACCCUCUGUGCUAAAUGAAACUGUGGCUUGUGGAAAGUCCUUGAAAAUGAAACGCCCUCACUGUGGUCUUAGUCUUCUUGAAAAAAAACUUCAAGGCUCACAUGAUGAGGAGGCAUUCAAACAGAUCAACAGAUGUUUGCCUGGCCUGUCAUCUGCAGUGUUUUUGUGUAGAGGGACUUCUUCCUCUUUGUUUUUCAG